rnacentral:rRNA from 1 species
UACGGAGGGUGCGAGCGUUGUCCGGAUUUAUUGGGUUUAAAGGGUGCGUAGGUGGCCUAUUAAGUCAGUGGUGAAAUACAGCCGCUUAACGGUUGAGGUGCCAUUGAUACUGAUGGGCUUGAAAUAAUUGGAGGCUGCCGGAAUGGAUGGUGUAGCGGUGAAAUGCAUAGAUAUCAUCCAGAACACCGAUAGCGAAGGCAGGUGGCUACGAUUGGUUUGACACUGAGGCACGAAAGCAUGGGGAGCAAACAGG